GGAGGAAUAUUGGUCAAUGGGGCGGAAGCCUGAACCAGCCAAGUCGCGUGCGGGACGAAGGCCCUACGGGUCGCAGACCGCUUUUGCGCGGGGAUAACGGCCGCCUCUUGAGGCGGCGUGAAGGUACCGCGCGAAUAAGGAUCGGCUAACUCCGUGCCAGCAGCCGCGGUAAUACGGAGGAUCCGAGCGUUAUCCGGAUUCAUUGGGUUUAAAGGGUGCGCAGGCGGGCCUGCAAGCCCGCGGUGAAACCCCGGGGCUCAACCCCGGGCCUGCCGCGGGAACUGCCGGCCUUGAGUCGCGGCGAGGGCUGCGGAACGCGGGGUGUAGCGGUGAAAUGCUUAGAUAUUAGGAGGAACAUCGGUGGCGAAGGCGGCUUACUGGGCUUUUACUGACGCUGAGGCUCGAAAGCGUGGGGAGCAAACAGGAUUAGAUACCCUGGUAGU
rnacentral:rRNA from 1 species